GCGUAACGCGUAUGCAACCUACCCUAUACAGGGGGAUAGCCCGGAGAAAUCUGGAUUAAUACCCCAUGGCACUAUGAUGAGGCAUUUUGUUAUAGUUAAAGAUUUAUCGGUAUAGGAUGGGCAUGCGUCUGAUUAGCUAGUUGGAGGUGUAACGGACCACCAAGGCGACGAUCAGUAGGGGUUCUGAGAGGAAGGUCCCCCACACUGGCACUGAGAUACGGGCCAG
rnacentral:rRNA from 1 species